rnacentral:rRNA from 1 species
CGGAGGAAAAGAAACCAACCGGGAUUGCCUUAGUAACGGCGAGUGAAGCGGCAAAAGCUCAAAUUUGAAAUCUGGUACCUUCGGUGCCCGAGUUGUAAUUUGGAGAGGGCAACUUUGGGGCCGUUCCUUGUCUAUGUUCCUUGGAACAGGACGUCAUAGAGGGUGAGAAUCCCGUGUGGCGAGGAGUGCGGUUCUUUGUAAAGUGCCUUCGAAGAGUCGAGUUGUUUGGGAAUGCAGCUCUAAGUGGGUGGUAAAUUCCAUCUAAAGCUAAAUAUUGGCGAGAGACCGAUAGCGAACAAGUACAGUGAUGGAAAGAUGAAAAGAACUUUGAAAAGAGAGUGAAAAAGUACGUGAAAUUGUUGAAAGGGAAGGGCAUUUGAUCAGACAUGGUGUUUUGUGCCCUCUGCUCCUUGUGGGUAGGGGAAUCUCGCAUUUCACUGGGCCAGCAUCAGUUUUGGUGGCAGGAUAAAUCCAUAGGAAUGUAGCUUGCCUCGGUAAGUAUUAUAGCCUGUGGGAAUACUGCCAGCUGGGACUGAGGACUGCGACGUAAGUCAAGGAUGCUGGCAUAAUGGUUAUAUGCCGCCCGUCUGA